GUGUUCACUUCGGCAGCACACAUACUAAAAUUGGAUCGACACAGAAAAGAUUAGCAUGGCCCCUGCGCAUAUAUGAUUUUGAAUAUGUAACUCCACAUAGUGUU